CUACGGGGCGCUCCAGUGAGGAAUUUUGCGCAAUGGGGGAAACCCUGACGCAGCAACGCCGCGUGAGUGAUGAAGGCCUUCGGGUCGUAAAACUCUGUCAAGUGGGAAGAACCUAUGUAAGGUUAAUACCCUUAUGUACUGACGGUACCACUGAAGGAAGCACCGGCUAACUCCGUGCCAGCAGCCGCGGUAAUACGGAGGGUGCAGCGUUAUUCGGAAUUAUUGGGCGUAAAGGGCGCGCAGGCGGUUUUGUAAGUCAGAUGUGAAAGCCCGGGGCUUAACCUCGGAAGUGCAUUUGAUACUGCAAGACUUGAGUAUGGGAGGGGGAAGUGGAAUUCCUGGUGUAGAGGUGAAAUUCGUAGAUAUCAGGAGGAACACCAGUGGCGAAGGCGACUUCCUGGACCAAUACUGACGCUGAGGCGCGAAGGCGUGGGGAGCAAACAGGAUUAGAUACCCCAGUAGUC
rnacentral:rRNA from 1 species